AGCAGCACCUAUACUGGAAUCUAUGAACAAUGCAGAGAGGAUUGUCAUGGCCCCUGUGCAAGGAUGACACAACAGAUUUUUGAAGCAUUCCAUAUAAAU
rnacentral:snRNA from 1 species